GGGCUUUGGCUCCAACGUCUCCAACUCCCGGCCUCGCCCCUGGUCACAUGCAGCCUCUGCGCCCAUGAAGGGCAGUUUCCAGCCCCUCUGAAGCUGCAUCUUCGCAGGACAGGUUUUUAGGUUUCUCUGCCUGGGAAAUGAUUCUGAGGUUUGGGACAGUGAAGCCCUGAGCUCAGCGCAAUGUUUCCAGUGGCCAUUCAGGGAGGGAGGAAGCAUCUGGAGCGGGGCCAUUACAGAAAGGAGGUCUGACUUGGGACAACAUCCCUUCAUGCCGAUCUUUAUUGAACCUCCAGUCUGGGGGUCACCCCCCGCCCCGCCCCGCCAUCGGCCAGGGUCUGUGCUCCCAGGUCAGUCUCCUGACAUUCAGUUCAGGCAGGGACUGGGCCAGGGGGCUCACCGAUCCGUCUCAACUUUCUAGUCCUGUUCUGGCACGUGGCAGGUGCUUGGAAUUACUGAAUGGAUGCGUGACAAUGACCAUCUCUUCCGUAGAAACUGGGUCCCCUGGGAUAGUGCUUUGGGCACACCCAGGUAUUUGCUCUAAAUUUUGUUCACAGCUAACUGCAAUCUCUGGCUCGUCCUUUCGUUUAAAUAAGCCCAGGGCGCCUGGGUGGCUCAGGCGGUUGGGCGACUGCCUUCGGCUCAGGUCAUGAUCCUGGAGUCCCGGGAUCGAGUCCCGCGUCGGGCUCCCUGCUCAGCGGGGGGUCUGCUUCUCCCUCUGACCCUCCCCCCUCUCAUGUGCUCUCUCAAAUAAAUAAAUAAAAUCUUUAAAGUAAAUAAAUAAAUAAAUAAAUAAAUAAGCCCAACCCUACUGGGGUCUACUAUUACUUCCCCCAAAGUGUUCCCACAUCCCCUGUCAAGGAGGCCGGACUCAUGUUUCUGUCCACUUCUUUCACUGCCAGAAAAAGAAAAGUUUCCGCCAACCAUCUCCAUCCGGGCUCUCCAUCCUGCAAGCAGCGAGACUCCAAGAAGACACUCUGCCGCAUGGGGCCCCGUGGAACCACAGCAAGGACAGGCUCCCUGGCGGGUGCCCUGGCAGCCCCUCAAGCUUGGGGUCUGGUGAACCGGUCCCGGAUCCAAAGUUUGAGGGGUUCGGAUCCAAGUAACGUUUCUGUCACUUCUCAGUGGGGGAACCUCGGGCUUAAUCUAAACCUCAAUUUCUUUCAUCUUUAGGGAUCAGUAAUAUUGAACGGAAGAAGACGAAAUGAGACUUUGUAUCCAAUGGAUGACGAUAAGGCGAAAGCGUAUGUGUAUGUGUGCGUCUGUGUCCAGAGAAGCCGGUUAUCUCUGUAAUUUGCCAGGGCUGUUCAUUUUGGUCCCUCCAAUUCAAGUCUGUUCAACUUGAAAAAAAGCCCAUAAACCAGCGCAGGGCUGUGGGUUCCUAUUUCCUUUGACUUCUGUUCGUUUUUCCUAAAGAUCCUCUCACCUUGAUGGAAUGAAGAGCUCUAGGAUGAGACCCUCACCACAGACACAGCCCCACUCCUGGGCCUAAGGCACUAAGCGUUUCAGAAAAGGCGCCCGAGACUGGUACAUCUGUGCUGAAGGCGCUACCGCCUCCCCUCUCUCUUGGGAAACACCAAGGGAAAAAGGACUCUGCCAUAAUUAUGGAGUGACUGCGCCCCCCAGACAUGUGAGACAGGAGCAGGAGACUACGGAAGGGAGUAAUCCGCUCCACUGAAGUGCCAAGCUGGGACUGCAGGCCUGGGCAAGAAUGAGCCACGGACAAGUUCUAUGCUCAGAGGCUGACUCCUAUUUGGGCAUUUUGCUAGGGCUGAGGGAAAUGAGCUGGUGUCUUACCAGCUUCAAGAAUGCUGACAGCAGAAGUCCUCAAUUAUCGCAUGGAAAUGAUUUACUUUAAAAAUUAAGUCUGCACUGAUUCAUUGAGGAU